rnacentral:rRNA from 1 species
UUCAGGGAAUGGAAUCCGGGAGUGGAUAUCCCGGUGCAAGCGAGGUAGGAGUGCUGUUGGCAAAUCCGCAGCACGAUCUGAAGACGUGACGCGUACCGAACAUAAGUAGGGAAGUCCAGGCCCCUGGCUGUCAAGAAAAGCCGCUAUUGUUUUAUAUGUGCCCGUACCGCAAACCGACACAGGUGGAUGAGGAGAGAAUCCUAAGGCCGACGGGAGAAGUAUUGUUAAGGAACUCGGCAAAAUGACUCCGUAACUUCGGGAGAAGGAGUGCCAUGAGAGUGGCCGCAGAGAAAUGGCCCAAGCAACUGUUUAGCAAAAACACAGGUCUAUGCAAAACCGCAAGGUGAAGUAUAUGGGCUGACGCCUGCCCGGUGCUGGAAGGUUAAGGGGAGAGGUUAGCGCAAGCGAAGCUUUGAACUUAAGCCCCAGUAAACGGCGGCCGUAACGAUAACGGUCCUAAGGUAGCGAAAUUCCUUGUCGGGUAAGUUCCGACCCGCACGAAAGGCGUAAUGAUUUGGGCACUGUCUCAACGAUACACCCGGUGAAAUUGAAAUACCAGUGAAGAUGCUGGUUACCUGCGCCAGGACGGAAAGACCCCAUGGAGCUUUACUCCAGUUUGAUACUGGGAUUCGGCAUGGUAUGUACAGGAUAGGUGGGAGACUGAGAAGGUAUGACGUCAGUUGUACCGGAGUCGCUGUUGGGAUACCACCCUUACCAUGUUGGAUUUCUAACCUGUGGCCGUAAGCCGGUCAGGGGACAAUGUCAGGCGGGGAGUUUGACUGGGGCGGUCGCCUCCGGAAGGGUAUCGGAGGCGCUCAAAGGUUCCCUCAGAAUGGUUGGAAACCAUUCGAAGAGUGCAAAGGCAGAAGGGAGCUUGACUGUGACACCGACGGGUGGAGCAGGUACGAAAGUAGGACUUAGUGAUCCGGUGGUAUAAAGUGGGAUUGCCAUCGCUCAACGGAUAAAAGCUACCCUGGGGAUAACAGGCUUAUCACUCCCAAGAGUUCACAUCGACGGAGUGGUUUGGCACCUCGAUGUCGGCUCAUCGCAUCCUGGAGCUGUAGCAGGUUCCAAGGGUUGGGCUGUUCGCCCAUUAAAGCGGUACGCGAGCUGGGUUCAGAACGUCGUGAGACAGUUCGGUCCCUAUCCGGCGCAGGCGGAGGAAAUUUGAUAGGAGCUGUCCUUAGUACGAGAGGACCGGGAUGGACGGACCGCUGGUGUAUCUGUUGUACUGCCAAGUGCAUAGCAGAGUAGCCAAGUCUGGAAGGGAUAAACGCUGAAGGCAUCUAAGCGUGAAGCCCCCCUAAAGAUAAGAUUUCCCAUACCAUAAGGUAGUAAGACCCCUUGAAGACGACGAGGUAGAUAGGGCAGAGGUGGAAGUACGGUAACGUAUGGAGCUGACUGUUACUAAUCGGUCGAGGCUUUAACCG